GAUGAACGCUGGCGGCGUGCCUAAUACAUGCAAGUCGAGCGAACAGAUGAGGAGCUUGCUCCUCUGACGUUAGCGGCGGACGGGUGAGUAACACGUGGAUAACCUACCUAUAAGACCGGGAUAACUUCGGGAAACCGGAGCUAAUACCGGAUAAUAUAUUGAACCGCAUGGUUCAAUAGUGAAAGACGGUUUUGCUGUCACUUAUAGAUGGAUCCGCGCCGCAUUAGCUAGUUGGUAAGGUAACGGCUUACCAAGGCAACGAUGCGUAGCCGACCUGAGAGGGUGAUCGGCCACACUGGAACUGAGACACGGUCCAGACUCCUACGGGAGGCAGCAGUAGGGAAUCUUCCGCAAUGGGCGAAAGCCUGACGGAGCAACGCCGCGUGAGUGAUGAAGGUCUUCGGAUCGUAAAACUCUGUUAUUAGGGAAGAACAAAUGUGUAAGUAACUAUGCACGUCUUGACGGUACCUAAUCAGAAAGCCACGGCUAACUACGUG
rnacentral:rRNA from 1 species